AAGAUCAGGGGUGGGGACUGUGGUCAGCAAGGGGGUUUUAUCUCUCAUCCUCAGCACAGUGUUUGACACAUCUUUAGCCAUUGAUAAGUAUUAUUUUAUUGUUGCUAUGAUUAUUAAUAAUAGAUAAUAAAUGCCAUCAUGCACACAAGCUUACUUUUUUGUUUGCUGUUGUGUCCUAGCUCUUCAGCAUCAGCACUGUGCCUGGAACACAUGGAAUAAUUAGUCAGUAAUGACCAUUAUGGCUACGGGCUCAGGUAUAGAGGUGGAGAAUUGUGACAUGGCAUGGCUCGGCCAUGGUCCCAAGGCCAGAAACCAGCAGGGCUGGGCCUUCACAUUGAUUUUCCAACUCUCAAAUUGCAGUCUUUCAUCUAUAUCCACAGCCUUUCUGUCACACACCCUGCUUGCCCUUUAUGCAUUCACACCCGGCUGUGCUGUGACGUCCACCUGAGUGACAGGCAGGCAGUUUACAUUGUAUUGUCAGUGCACACGCCUCCCCGAGGACAGCCAUCUCCCCCAGACAUCACAGGGUCAGGGGUCCAGACACGCCCUCACGUUAACACAGGGAGAGGCAACAGAACCUUCUGGGGACCACUGACUUUGUCAGACACCCAUGCAUGCAUUUCAGUUUGAAAGACUCCACCGGGAAGUUGCAGACUUUUAAAACUAAUUUGGUGUUUAUUCAACUUUGCAAUCACUUCUAUGUACUAUCUGUGUUUCACACACCGUGAAACGGCGCUACACUGUGCAAUUGAAUUAGUUGUACAGUGACUCAAAGGCAUUAAACAAUGACUUUGAUAUUUUAAGUACUGACUAGGAGGGAUUUUUAAUUCCUUCCUCAUAAUGAAAGCCACAAAAAAACCCAGUUACACAACCCUGGAACACUUAUUCUCUUUUCUAUUCUGGGUGGACCCCACUGAGACAGAAAAAAAUCUCUGAGCAUUUAGUUUGCUUAAUGGCAGAAGAAAAAUUAAACAAGCAUAGACGUGCAACCUUAAUGACACCCAGCAACACUAGAAUAACAGUUCUGAGCUUCUAAAACCUGUUAUUUAAUAUAAUGGGUAAAUCUUGUGGGAGCUUUUCAGGUGCUGCUGAGUCUGAACAAACAGCUACUUUGUGAGAAGGGGCGGGGGUAGAGAGGAAGGGCGCAGGCCCUGCUUGGCGCUCGUUGGCUUGGGAGGGUUUCAGGGCCCCGUUCAGGCCGGGCAGGUGCUGGCCAAGACCCAGCGCGGGCCGGACAGUCCCCAGGGAGGCCACGUUCCUUCUGGAAACAGCAUGGUGCCUACUUGGGCCACAUGUAUCCUCAGCCCUGCCGGUGCUUAGGAGGAACUUUCACAACAGAGCCUCUCUGGAGAUGGCAUUGAAAGAAAGGAAGAAGAGGAAGAGAGAGAGAGAGAGAAAACAACUCAAAACAAAACCACAGCAAGUGAAUUAGCGCCCUGAACCUACAAGCAUUAGCCGGUAAUAGUUCAGGGCAAAGCACUGUGGUACUGAAGACCCCUCUCCUGGGCAGAAUGACAGUGGGCCUCUCCUCUUCUGCAGCACCUGCGUUUUGCUACCAUCCCAGCAUUUUCUCAUGAAUGGAAGGUCACACCUGAUGAGGCCCAGAGGGUGGUGGUUUGGCGGAGCUCCCUGUGACCCGUCUCCAUCUUUGCUAAAGAAGUCCUCGGUGGAGAGGACGUAGGUCGAUUGGGAUAAAAUGAAGGGCAGAUCCAUAAGCCCAAACUCUU